rnacentral:lncRNA from 1 species
UUGUACUUGCCUGGAGCUCUGAGGUUGAUAGGCACGAUGGAGCUUCUAUUGAAUGUUUAAGGCCUUACUGACUGACUGAGCUAUAGGCGACGUGAAGGCUGUUCUAUUAUCAGACUUUAUGGCAGCAGGCAGCCUAUACUGAACGAUGAUUUCAUUGUGUAAAAACUUAACUACUGUGUUGGUGGUUUCGUUUUCGGUAGCAAAUGCCUUAGUCUAUCUGGAGAAGGUGUCUACUAGUACUAGAAGGCAUUUGUACUUAGCCUGGUGUGGUUUGACUUCUGUAAAGUCAAUUUCUUACUUUUUUCUUGGCGAGGUUUUUCAGAGACAGUGGCCUGGGCUGGGUUUAGGACUUUGUUUGGCAUUUACUUGGGCGCAGGUUGUGAACUGGAGAGCUGCUUAAUCUGUUAGGCUUUGAAGACGGGGGAUCUUAAAAUGGCUCCGCAGGAGCUGAGGUAGCUUUGCUCUUUUUAAGUGGGUGGUAGACUGUAGGUGACGGACUAAAUUUUCUUUAAGGGUUCAGGAUAUGAAGCGUCUAGAGUCAGGAAGAAUCUACUAACUUUCCUGAUUUUUAUUGACUCUGAGAUCUGAAGCCAGUUUUUUGUUGUUGUUGUUGAGUGUACGGGAUUGUCAGGCAGAUCUGGCUGUGGAAAGGAGACUGUGGGCAGCAAGUUUAGAGGCGUGACUGAAAGUCUCGCUGCGACCUGAGCUGCUGAAUCAGGUUUCUGGUUACUAUGGGCAACGGCCGUGUUUUCUUUUUGAUGUCCUUUGCAGUGGAUCACAGCUACCUGCUGAGACAGACAAGGAGAGGGUUUCCUGUGAUGGGAUCAGUCAGAUGCCUGCCUGGCCACUCCCCCUGAGGGGACCUGGGCUCCUCUUACCAUUGGCAGGCCGGUAUAAACUUGCGGCUCAGAUCAAGCUAUGCCUGAUGCUGCCUUAAGCCUUAUGAGGUCGCCAAGGAACCGCAGAAACUCCUGGAGGGCAGAGGCAUGCCUGCCAUCUUCAUCAAUGCAUUACCACCACCCAACACUAUCGGGGGACCUGCCCUGAUAAUCAGUCUACAGGUGAAUCCAGCAGCUCCAGAGAGACAGCGACCAGCGAGAAGGGGCCAUGAUGAUGGUGGUGGUUUUGUCAAAACGAAAAGGGGGAUA